UGACCCUUUAAUAUUUUAGUGGACAGGGUCACUAAAGGGGUUUAAGAUAUAGGGUCAAUAAUGGACUUUUAUUCACAGCCAUUAAUAUCAAAGAAAAAUAAAGGGCCAAAAAGAAAAACCUAAUUAAAAAAAAAAAAAAAAGUUAGAAGAUUAGAAUGACCCAAGAAAAAAUCAGAACCUCCAAUUUCUCUCCCCUCUUUUCGAUCUUCUAAAUAAACUCUAAGUUCUUCAAUUGAUUUACAAAUUAUUGCGAUUUCGAGCUUUCAAGCUUCACAAUUUAGGCGACCUUCUUUAUUUUUCCUUUGAGUGUGUUCCUUAAUAUGGAUGAUGAUACUACUACUACUUCUACGACACGUAAUGAUGGAUAUAAUGAAUACAUCACUCCGCAACGAAAGAGAAAGAAGAGGUCUAAAGUUUGGAGAGAGCUUAUUGAAGGGAAGAAUGUUCAAGGAGAAUUAUAUCAUACCCUGAUCAAAGAAGCUAAGAGGCUGAAGUAUCAUGGUAGUUUUUGGGCUGGACAAAACUUCAUUUGUAAAUCUGAUCUUUGAAGACUGAAAAAAAAAAUGGAGUUUGCAGACUAGACUUGUGGAUUUCAAAAUGUUUAUUUACUUACAAUACAUUGGUUUUUGCUUCUGAAAAUGUGAUCCGAACUUUAUGGAUAUCAAAAUGUAAUCUGAAAUAUAAGUUACUCUGUUUGCUUUCAUGGAAGCUGCUAAGUUUGGCCGCCA